UCCUUGCCCAUGGCAGGGGGGUUGAAACUAGAUGAACUUCAAGGUCCCUGCCACCCCAAGCCAUUCAAUGAAUCUAUUCUUUGCUUCUAGAAUUUGUGG